GGAGAGGUGCCAGAGUGGCCGAAUGGGCCUGACUCGAAAUCAGGUGUACGUGCGAGCGUACCGUGGGUUCGAAUCCCACCCUCUCCG
rnacentral:tRNA from 1 species